AACAACAACAACAAUCCUCGUCUCGCAAUAGCAACAAAACUCGGCAGAGGAUUUGACAAUCUUCUGCUAGACAGUCUCUACAAAGACGAUAUAGCAAGCAGACAGAUUCAAUUAACCAAUGCUGGUUACGGAUUUGGAGCAACGGCUACAACCGGAGAACCAGCCUCAUCUAACCCCAACCCGCUCCGGAUGCAACAAGAUAUUUUCUGUAAAUAUCCGAGACCACUUUACUGUUCUCUAAGCAACCCAAAUCCGAGUUAAAGAUUUGAGUUCAUAAUUUCACAUACAAUACAAUACAAUACAAUUUCACAUAUUAGAGUAAAGGCCCAAGUGAGUGAAGACAAGCCCAAGGUCCAUGUAACUAGGGUUUCUUAACACGAAGAGUUCAUAUAAAUAUAACUAUAAUGGUCUUGUGCAGGGGAACAAAAGGCUGCGUUUCUAGCAGCCAAACCUUCGUCUUUAUGAUUAUCAAUAAACAAUAUAUUUGUGCUUGGUGACAAUCUCAAAGCUUCUUCCUUUCUUAUUUAUGCAUCUAAAUAAAGCUCUCUGAGCUAUUUCUAUUUCAAUAAAACUUUACAAAGCUAUAA